CUUCAGGUUUCAGGUUUAUUCAGAACGCAUAUUAUUUCAGGUUUCAGGUUUAUUCUGAGAGCAUAUUACUUCAGGUUUCAGGUAUAUUCUGAGAGCAUAUUACUUCAGGUUUCAGGUAUAUUCUGAGAGCAUAUUACUUCAGGUUUCAGGUAUAUUCUGAGAGCAUAUUACUUCAGGUUUCAGGUAUAUUCUGAGAGCAUAUUACUUCAGGUUUCAGGUUUAUUCAGAACGCAUAUUACUUCAGGUUUCAGGUUUAUUCAGAACGCAUAUUACUUCAGGUUUCAGGUUUAUUCUGAGAGCAUAUUACUUCAGGUUUCAGGUUUAUUCAGAACGCAUAUUACUUCAGGUUUCAGGUUUAUUCAGAACGCAUAUUACUUCAGGUUUCAGGUUUAUUCAGAACGCAUAUUACUUCAGGUUUCAGGUUUAUUCAGAACGCAUAUUACUUCAGGUUUCAGGUUUAUUCAGAACGCAUAUUACUUCAGGUUUCAGGUUUAUUCAGAACGCAUAUUACUUCAGGUUUCAGGUUUAUUCAGAACGCAUAUUAUUUCAGGUUUCAGGUUUAUUCAGAACGCAUAUUACUUCAGGUUUCAGGUUUAUUCUGAGAGCAUAUUACUUCAGGUUUCAGGUAUAUUCUGAGAGCAUAUUACUUCAGGUUUCAGGUUUAUUCUGAGAGCAUAUUACUUCAGGUUUCAGGUAUAUUCUGAGAGCAUAUUACUUCAGGUUUCAGGUAUAUUCUGAGAGCAUAUUACUUCAGGUUUCAGGUAUAUUCUGAGAGCAUAUUACUUCAGGUUUCAGGUUUAUUCAGAACGCAUAUUACUUCAGGUUUCAGGUUUAUUCAGAACGCAUAUUACUUCAGGUUUCAGGUUUAUUCUGAGAGCAUAUUACUUCAGGUUUCAGGUUUAUUCAGAACGCAUAUUACUUCAGGUUUCAGGUUUAUUCAGAACGCAUAUUACUUCAGGUUUCAGGUUUAUUCAGAACGCAUAUUACUUCAGGUUUCAGGUUUAUUCAGAACGCAUAUUACUUCAGGUUUCAGGUUUAUUCAGAACGCAUAUUACUUCAGGUUUCAGGUUUAUUCAGAACGCAUAUUACUUCAGGAUUCAGGUUUAUUCAGAACGCAUAUUACUUCAGGUUUCAGGUUUAUUCAGAACGCAUAUUACUUCAGGUUUCAGGUUUAUUCAGAACGCAUAUUACUUCAGGUUUCAGGUUUAUUCAGAACGCAUAUUACUUCAGGUUUCAGGUUUAUUCAGAACGCAUAUUACUUCAGGUUUCAGGUUUAUUCAGAACGCAUAUUACUUCAGGUUUCAGGUUUAUUCAGAACUCAUAUUACUUCAGGUUUCAGGUUUAUUCAGAACGCAUAUUACUUCAGGUUUCAGGUUUAUUCAGAACGCAUAUUAUUUCAGGUUUCAGGUUUAUUCAGAACGCAUAUUACUUCAGGUUUCAGGUUUAUUCUGAGAGCAUAUUACUUCAGGUUUCAGGUAUAUUCUGAGAGCAUAUUACUUCAGGUUUCAGGUAUAUUCUGAGAGCAUAUUA